rnacentral:misc_RNA from 1 species
AGCCCAUAGAUGGCUGUCGAG